rnacentral:rRNA from 1 species
UAGGGAAUCUUCGGCAAUGGGGGCGAACCCUGACCGAGCAACGCCGCGUGAGUGAAGAAGGUUUUCGGAUCGUAAAACUCUGUUGUUAGAGAAGAACGUUAAGUAGAGUGGAAAAUUACUUAAGUGACGGUAUCUAACCAGAAAGGGACGGCUAACUACGUGCCA